rnacentral:rRNA from 1 species
UACAGAGGUGGCAAGCGUUGUUCGGAAUUACUGGGCGUAAAGGGCGCGUAGGCGGCCUUCUAAGUCAGACGUGAAAUCCCCCGGCUUAACCUGGGAACUGCGUCUGAUACUGGGAGGCUUGAGUAUGGGAGAGGGAUGUAGAAUUCCAGGUGUAGCGGUGAAAUGCGUAGAUAUCUGGAAGAACACCAGUGGCGAAGGCGGUUCUCUGGGACGGUACUGACGCUGAGACGCGAAAGCGUGGGAGCGAACAGG